rnacentral:ncRNA from 2 species
UGAAAAAAGCGAAAUAAACCUCAUAUAUCAUUGGAGAUAGGGUCCAAAAGUUUCUACCCAGUUACCGUAAAUGACUGGACUAUGAGGAAAGGUCGUUGCACU